UAUCCAAAUAUUUUUUUUUCAUCAUCACAUAUUAUUUUUAUGGUUACUCAAUAAAAACAUAUAUGCAAGACUUGGAAAUUCACCUUAAAUGGGAAAGUGGCAGUUUAAUACAUUAAUGCAUGAGAAAACAAUGCAUACAUACAAUGGGACACAUUUGCAAACAUUUACAGCAUCUCUUUCCUUCAAAUUGCAUUUUUGAUACAGUAAUUGGACAGGGAAGGACAAUGAACAAUUGUUGCUCUAUUACGUUUGCUUUGAUGUUGUGGAUAUUGGGCUGAAACAGUAUACAUAUUUACCCAAACGUGGAAUAUUUACAAUAUAAUACAGGAAGUUGGCAUUUAGUUGGCAUCUAAAGUAUAUAUAUUUUUUAUAUCUAGGAUAAAAAACGAAUAAACAACAAAAUGCUUGCUUCAAGAGCAAAUUCAAACCCACACCAUUCAGAUCAAUGACAAAACGAUCAUCAAAAUAUAGACUUCAUUGCAGUUUAGAAAAUAGGAAUAUUUGACAGUUCCAGUGUUGAUUCAGAGUGAGGGUUAGGGCAAUGCCCAAAUGGCACCCUAUUCCCUAUACAGUGCACUACUUUUGACCAAAGCCCAAGUCUUUGCUAGGUAAAACCCCGCCUUAUCUCAACUCACUGGUCACCAUAGCAGCACCCACCCAUAGCACGCGCUCCAGCAGGUAUAUUUCACUGGUCACCCCCAAUGUCAAUUCCUUCUUUGGCCGCCUUUCCUUCCAGUUCUCUGCUGCCAAUGACUGGAAUGAGUUGCAAAAAUCACUGAAGCUGGAGACUCAUAUCUUCCUCACUAACUUUAAGCAUCAGCUGUCAGAGCAGCUCACAGAUCAUUGCACCUGUACAUAGGCCAUCUGUAAAUAGCCCAUCCAACUACCUCAUCCCCAUAUUGUUAUUUUUUUAUUUAUUUUUUGGCUCCUUUGCACCCCAGUAUCUCUACUUGCACAUUCAUUCUGCACAUCUAUCACUCCAGUGUUUAAUUGCUAAAUUGUAAUGACUUCGCCACUACGGCCUAUUUAUUGCCUUACCUCCCUAAUCUUACCUCAUUUGCACACACUGUAUAUAGAUUUUUUCUAUUGUGUUAUUGACUGUACAUUUGUUUAUUCCAUGUGUAAAUCCGUGUUGUUUGUGUCGCACUGCUUUGCUUUAACUUGGCCAGGUCGCAGUUGUAAAUGAGAACUUGUUCUCAACUGGCAAACCUGGUUAAAUAAAGGUGAAAUAAAAAAUAAAAUGUUUUAAAAGUCUCUGGUCAGAAGUAGUGCACUAUAUGGGGAAUAGGGUGCCAUUUGGGAUGCAAACCUAGAUCUACAGUAUAAACUACUGCUGGAUCAGAGAGUGUAGGAAGUAGGCUGCAGCUAUCGUCAACAUCACCAGAUAUCUCCCAGGCUCCAGCAGUUGUCCAGAACUUCCUGUUUAAAUGAACAUUGAGAUGAAAGAUUGUAUUACAUUAAUACGUCUACACAGUAAGGUUUAUUUGUAUGUUUCUGUUCAGUUAUACACUAUCACACCUACUGUAUUGGGUGUGUGUGUGUGUGUGUGUGUCAGUGGUGUACUUACUUGAGCAACCUUCUGUCUGCUUGAAGAUGCCCAUCUUCUCACUGUCUUUGAUAGAGUUCAUCUUGUCCGUACUCACCUCCCCUGUAAGUCAACAGGGUAUUGGUUAUUAAAAGUCACAGUAGUAUGUAGCAUUGUGAGUAACUUGUUACCAUUGUAUUAUUACAAUGUUAUUACCAUUUUAUUCUCCCCUGUAAUGUCUUCAUCAGGCUUCCCUAAACUGAGAAUAUUGUGUAAAGAUUGUUUUGGAGUCUGUGAAAGCUUGGAUGGUAUAUCACGCAUUCUCUACCAGAAAGUUGGUUGGCCCUCUUUGAUGUCACGUAGGUUGAUACAUUGCUAUGUUUUCAUUUAUGAAGCCCUUUUACAAAAAGUUCCACUGUUCCUAACAUCAUUACUAAACUUCAGUCAUACUAGUUACCACACCCGGUUUCAGGGAUGACUAACUCUGUAAAUUCCUUUGGUCUCUACAGAGUUAGGUAAAUCAGCUUUAGUUUCUUGCACCUUAUUUGAGGAACAAUCUUCAAAAUGUUGUUAAAUGUGAUGUUCUGGUGCCUCUAUGGCAAUUCAGAAAGCGGAUUGAGGACCUUAUUACUGAUGAAUGUCUUUGUUUUUUAUGACCGUGUUUUUCUUUCUGCUUGCAUUUUGUAUUUAUAUUUUCAUGUGUGUAUUUUCUGUAAUUUAUUGACUCAGUAUGACUCUCUGAUAAAAUAAAGGUUCAAUAAAUAAAUCUACAGCCUAGUCUGAGUACCCAGAUCAAGGAAAAACUAUGUUUUUAGAUGAGACAAAUAAACUUUUUUUCACAAAGAUAGUUUAUCAUUCACAACUCUGUAUGUCUUCAUCGGGCAGUCCUAAACUGAGAACAUUCCACUGUAUUCUUCUGAUGUCAUAAAGGCCAUCCUGUCUGUGCUAUACUGUGGUACCUCUUCUCCAUACACUGCUCUCCUCUGUCCCACUGGGACAGACAACUUGGAGGGGGGCAAAGGUGCAUCCCAAAGGGCACCCUAUUCCCUACUUAGUGCACUACUUUUGACCAGGGUACAUAGGGCUUUGGUCAAAAGUAGUACACUAUAGAGAAUAGCCAGACCCUUAACUCCAGCAUCAGGUUACCCAGCAGUUUUUGUAAGGCUUUUGAAUGGGCAGAAUUAUUCAUUGUCUGGACAGACACAGAGGCCUGAGCAGCUAGCUACUUAGUGCACUACUUUUGACCAGGACCAUUGGGGUUCUGUUAAAAGUAGAGUGCUAUGUAGGGAAUAGGAUUCUUUGGAACGCAACUAUCUCCGAGUAGCUCUCAGACUGGGACACAAGGGCUGAGAAAACAACAAAGCUUUAUGGAGGGAAGAAUCAACACCUAGCAUAGCAUCUACACAGACUCCCACGAUUUGGCAGUUCAUUGAAAGCGUCAGACAAAAACCCUGGUAAUUGCUCUGUAGCGUGAGGAGGAGUUGUUUUUCUCCAUUAUACAAGGCUUAAUCUGUGUCCUGCAAACCAUCUGUGAGCAGCCUACCUCCUCAUUCUUCAAAAAGGCAUUCCUUCACCCAAGAACACCUACAGCUCGUGUUUCAGCACCUCUAUUCCUUCUCUACCUGACUGUCAGUUGUGACACUUUAAUGACAAAGACAACUAUAUAAGUGGUGUGAUGUUCAAAUACUCAGACAACAUAAUUAUAACGUUUCGGAUGUAAACAAUAGGUUUACAUUCCAGGUGAAUACUUUUGACUAAUGAAUUGUGUCAUGGCCUCCAAGAAACUAGAUUUCAACAUAGAUUGCCAAAUAUAAAUGCACGCACACACACACAGACACACACACCUAAACACCUUCUUUGCCCGCUUUGAGGAUAAUACAGUGCCACAGACACGGCCCGCUACCAAGGACUGUGGGCUCUCCUUCUCUGUGGCCGUUGUGAGUAAGACAUUUAAACGUGUUAACCCUCACAAGGCUGCCGGCCCAGACGGCAUCCCUAGCCGUGUCCUCAGAGCAUGCGCAGACCAGCUGGCUGAUGUGUUUACAGACAUAUUCAAUCUCUCCCUAUCCCAGUCUGCUGUCCCCACAUGCUUCAAGAUGGCCACCAUUGUACAUGUACCCAAGAAGACAAAUGUAACUUAACUAAAUGACUAUCACCCCAUAGCACUCACUUCUGUCAUCACGAAGUGCCCAAGAGACUAGUCAAAGAUCAUAUCACCUCCACCUUACCUGUCACCCUAGACCCACUUCAAUUUGCGUAUCGCCCCAAUAGGUCCACAGACGAUGCAAUUGCCAUCACACUGCACACUGCCCUACCCCAUCUGGACAAGAGGAAUACCUAUGUAAGAAUGCUGUUCAUUGACUACAGCUCAGCAUUCAACAUCAUAGUACCCUCCAAGCUCAUCAUUAAGCUUGAGGCCCUGGGUCUCAACCCCGCCCUGUGCAAUUGGGUCCUGGACUUCCUGACGAGCCGCUCCCAGGUGGUGAAGGAAGCAAACAACAUCUCCACUUCGCUGAUCCUCAACACUGGGGCCCCACAAGGGUGCAUGCUCGGCCCCCUCCUGUACUCCCUGUUCACCCAUGACUGUGUAGCCAUGCACGCCUCCAACUCAAUCAUCAAGUUUGCAGACGACACAGCAGUAGUAGGCUUGAUUACCAACAACAACGAGACAGCCUAUAGGGAGGAGGUGACGGCACUCGGAGUGUGGUGUCAGGAAAACAACCUCUCACCCAACGUCAAAAAAACAAAGGAGAUGAUCUUGGACUUCAGGAGGCUGAAUAAAUUUGGCGUGUCACCUAAAACCCUCACAAACUUUUACAGAUGCACAAUUGAGAGCAUCCUGUCGGGCUGUAUCACUGCCUGGUACGGCAACUGCACUGCCCAUAACCCCAGGGCUCUCCAGAGGGUG
rnacentral:lncRNA from 1 species